rnacentral:snRNA from 1 species
AGCUUUGUGCAGUGGCGGUAUCAUAGCCAAUGAGGUUUAUCCAAGAUGCAAUUAUUACUAACUGAAAACUUUUCCCAAUACCCCACCAUGACGACUUGAAAUAUAGCCGGCAUUGGCAAUUUUUGGCAGUCCCUACGAGGA